UUUUUUUUUUUUUUUUAAAUCUUCAUGACAUGAUGAUUUUCUAGUCUGACAGUUUUAAUUUUAACAUUUAGAGCAAAAAAAAAACCUGUUUAAUUACUUGUGCAUGUUUAAAAUUGCAAGCCAUGCCUCAGGAAUUCCAUAAAGUUUAUUUUACUUGAAUAGAAGUCCUGGUAAAAGUGAUUAAAAGAAGCCCUUAGGCCUAGUCACGCAGCCCCUCUGGGUCAGUCUGUGGCUUAUUUACUUUCUCCACUAGGCAGUUUGCGUGUUAGAAUCCCCAAAGCUGCGAGUUUCAGGGGCUUUCCCCUGCUGCCUGCUGUCCCCUUGCUUCUCUUAUCUUGAGGUUCAUGAAGGGCAGCUUGUGGACCUCAGGAUUCAGUGGUCACUCAAGCUCUGAAUCCCUGUGCUGCAAAUUAAAGGCUCAGCUGUGCCUGUGACCUCGAGGAGCGCUGACAGACAAUCGAGGUGGAUACAGGCUUGAACUGACUAAAAUGUUCACCAUGAGAUAUUUCAGGAAACUGUCUUUAAGCCAAAAGUAGAGUGCAGUAUGAAUAAGGGGCAGGAAUAAUGUCUAGAAAUGCAGUAAUAUUGCUAUAAAUUCACAUAGCAGAGGAAGAGUUUAUGUAAUAUUUAUGCUAUAGAGCAAUAACUUCUUCCUUGUUUGUUACAUUUAUCAGUUAUGUAACCAGAUGUUUACAUGCGAGAUUUAUAGGAAAAUGCUGCCCCAGUUUCGUCCCCGAGGUUUUACGGGCAGAGCUCUCUUGCUCACAGCCUUCCCAUAGCUUUCCUGUUGAGUAACCUCAGAGGAUCUUUACCAAAGAUUUUUUUAAAGUAAAUUUCUUUUUAAUAUAGACUUAUACUUUUAUAAUAAUGAAUGUGCACGUACACAUACAUACAGAAAUAUUUAGAAUUAGAUGUUUUCUUUUCACAAGGUCUAAUGAGUAUAAAGGAUCCUAUCACAUUAUUCUGCAAUUCCUUUAAUAUAUAAUUUACAUUGCCUUCUUGUUUUCUUCUAGUAAGCAUUUGAUUUAAACAACACCAAGUACUCUAUUCUUGCUUAUCUAUAUAAAGUUUUGCCUACUAUAGAGAUAUAAAGAUCUAUUACCUUAAUGAUUAUAUGCAUUGCCUUUUGAUAUAUAUUGCCUUACUUAUCAUUUAAAUACAUAAAUAGAAAAAAUAUAAUGUCUGUAACAGAAAACUUAUAAUUAUACCUGAAUUGUUUAAAUGUCAAGAGCACAAACUUUUGGUUAUUCUGUAUAAGAUGAAAAGGGGAAAAAACCCAUCGUCAUGGGCUCUGCAGAGAACAUUCAAAAUAAUUCUCUUUCUAUUUCCGUAGUGGUGGGGAUGGAUCUCUGAGCCUUGCAUAAAAUAGACAAGUGCUCUACCACAGCUAAGCCUCCCUUCCAGAAUAAGAGUUCGUAGCUGUUUGGAUUCCCAUCUCAGACUGACUCAAUAUGGAGUCUGCUUGGCAAACGGCAUUGCCUUUAAAACUCAAAAAUACAUCCUCAGUGUCAGUGACACACCGCCAUCUCUGCAGCUCAAAGAUGUGGGGUUUUGUCCCUGUUAUUAGCGCAUUGUUGUCCCUGUAGGAACAACUUCUGAUCAGAAUUACUACGUGGGGUAUAUGCUGAUUAGGGACACAAACUUAAAAACACUAAAAAUUCCACAAUUAUGUUUAUGUUGGACUUUUAAAAAGUAUGUAACUUAAUAACCGUAAGCCGCUCUUUUGUAUUCGGGCCAGGGGAAGGGGAGAGUGCUCUGUGAGGCUGCAGUAGAGCGUUGGUUAAUAGGCAGGGCUCUGCAAACACAACUGCCAAGCGUCUUCCUAGUUACCACAAUUCCUAUUAAUGUGAACCAGUCAGGAAUAACAGUGUUAUUUCUAUUUGAUGUGGUUUGGGCUUCUCUUGUCAGAUCUGUGUCGGUUGCCCCCUGAUCCUGCCAUUCUCAAGUUUUGAAGGGUGUCGGGGAAAUUAUGGCAGCUGCUAGGGAGAUCCGAGAAACACUGAUGUAGCCUCCCAGCCUCUCACCAUCCCUCUUGGCUUGGAAAGGCUUUUUUUUUUUCCCCAUAUACAUUUCUAGAAAUAUUGCCAUUCUACCUUAGCAUUUCACAUUUGUAGAUUAAACAAGUGAUUGUCCAUCUGUUGCCUACAGCUACAGUACAUGUGUGUUAUGAAUGAAAUAUGACAGCAUGUUCCAUACCCCCGCUCCAGCCAUCUGUAGAAAACCAGCAACCGAAAAAGAUACCUCUGCAGAAUGUGCCUCAAGUGCAUGUCCUGGGAUGGCUCUUCUGGUGUGCGUUCUCACGAGAGACGAUCAAAAGCAGCCUACAACUGUGCCUUAUUUUUUAAAUAAUUUGUUUACACUACCAUGACUCUUGCUCAGUAAUAGAAAUACUACACCCCCAAUUUCAAAGAUAUGUGUGUGUGUGUAUAUGUGUGUGUGUGUGGAGAGAGAGAGAGAGAGAGAGAGAGAGAGAGAGAGAGAGAGAGAGAGAGAGAGCAUGCUAGCACACUUCUGUCUUAAUGUAGCUGUUUAGAAGACCUCAUGGCUCUAACGAGUGCAAGCAUGCUCAUGGCCAAGGUGAUCUGUGGGCAGUCCUUGGGCUUUGCUCUUCCCACAGUUUUAGUGGAAUGCUAAAGGCAGAGACUGCAGCAGCCCCUCUGGACUCACAUUUUUGACAUUGUGUUAUGUGUUUGAGUUAGUAAUAAGCACUCUUGAUUUCUGAGCAAGGUAUUACAUUGAGUAUUUCAGGACAAGUUACUUAAUUGGCUGAUAAUUAGAACGAGGCUGCUUGUGAUGCUGUAGGUUGGUUAGCACUGCUUUAUUUCUGACCUUUUCAAACCAACCUGGCCAAAGCUACUGACAAUGCCAGUGCUUAUCCCCUCUCUCCCUUGCUUUCUCCUCUUUUCUCUUUUCCCUCUCUCUCCACCGUGCCUACUAAUGCUGCCCUACUUGGCCUUCUCUUAAGUUUAGUUAGGAUACAACAUUAUGAUCUCAUUAAAGGAGAAAGGCUACCAGAACUUUUAUACUCACCAGCCAGAAAAGCAGCUUUAUGGGGACAUACUCUUUAUCUUGGUUUAUCCCUAGAGGGAGGUGUAGUCUGUGAGCUGCAUUUCAGUGAGUCUGCAUCAGGGACUUAGCUGAUAGGGUAGUACGAUAAAAUUAUCUGGAUAUUUCUCACAUAGAUGCAAAGUGGUCUUUCUAAGGCUAGACAGAGUUCUGUUUUUAACUCUGUCACUUUCACCACAAAAUAGUUAAUAUUUUUUAAUAAGAGAACAUCAUUUUGUCCCACUGCAAUGAACUUGAUAAUUUUCUUUGGGGCAACGAGAAACUGACAUUGGAGCACUUUGCCCAUGGUCCAUAGUACAUGAGAAUAGCUGACUCAGUACUGGUGAAGGGUAGUCUCAGCACUAGGAUGUUUUCUAGUGUACAUUGUUUUGUAGGCAUAUUUUCCCUUAGUAAAGAAGAGAGAGACACUAAUUUACUUUUCUGUUUUAAUUUUUCUUCCUUAUGCAAAGUUUUUUAGACAAUAUUUUAGUUAGCCACCAUGCAUAUGACUAAUUGUUGAGAUCUUUGGAAAGAACAUAUUUUUAUCCAUCCUACUGAAAAAAAAGCUCAAAUCUUUGUUCUUUGCUUCUGAUUGGUAUUUGUUUUAUAGCAGGAUCUAAGGAAGACGACAAGUAUCUCUUAUCUUCUAGCAUUUAUUAAAAAUUAGCAUACCACAGAUACUCAUAUUCUCUUUUAAUUCUUAGAAUGAAUGGCCGAGCUAAGUUUUCUAAGAUACCCAUUCACUUAGGGUCAAGUUAAACCUCCUUCAUCUGACUGAUAGUCACCCUCUGUGCUCCACUAGGAUACUGUUAAACAGCUACCAAUAGACUCCAUGAACUUAUCCCUGAACAUAACUUCUAAAUUCAGUGUUCAGGCCUAGAAGCAGAAUGCUCUAUCAGAUGUGUAGAGGUCACCAUUUUAUGCUCAGCCCAAGUGCUAGGAGGUCUUGUUGAACACACACUCAGUUGCUGUGCCUAGAUGUAUAGUGCUAUGGUCCUUACAAAGAUCUGCAUUCUCUAUUGCUUUAUUUACUGAUGGCCAUAACACAUAUUACUCAAUAUGAUGGCCAGUGUAGAAUACUCUCAAGGCAACCCAGGCUAGCUGGGGAACUGCAUAAAACCUUCUGAAUUCUAGACUCUCUCCCUUCGUGGGUGUGAUGCCACCAAGUACUUCACUUAGUAUUUAUUGACCUUGAUUCCAGUGACAUCACCUUCUACUUCCCUAAACAUUUCCUAAUUCUCUUUGCAUCUACUCUAUGACCCAACUAUAGCUGGCUGGCUGUCAGGGUAGGUGAAAGCACUUUGCUUCAGGUUGAAAGGAAAAGGAAUGAGAAUCCUUCAAGAGCAACUGAUGACCUCCCUUGAAGAGGACUCCCUCCUAAUGAUAGAGCUAGGUAAAGAUGGGUUAGCCACUGUGAAAAAUUAGCCCUCCUCAUCUUCUGGGCUGAUUUAAAAAAAAUAAUAAUGUGUUUCACUGCUGGUUUUGAUGGCAAUAGAAUCAAUUCAUUGAGAAGAAAGGAAGUGAGCUGAGGCAUAUUCCAUCCACAAGAGUCCCUGGCCUCAUAACGUCUCUUUCUCUUUAGCAGUGUCUUCUCAAGGAAAACACUUGACUAUUUCUGUGAUGGACAGAUAAAAAAGUUCUUGACACUAAGGAAGUUCUGCAUCAAUAUUAGUUUUUGGUUUUAAACCCGUCCAUUUAUUACUAAUAUUUGUGUCUAAAGCAUGCAGCUUCUCUCCGUGAUCAAUUUAUACUCUCCUUAAGACAGCCAAGAUCAAGAGAAACCCUGUCUCAAAAGAACAAAACAACAAAAAGAAGAGGAGUUUAUGAUUUAAGUGUUGUCCCCUCAGUAUCUUAGUUCCUUAACUGAUCUUGUUUUAACAGCUAUUGUUGGAUCUCUCUGAGAGACUCAGGCUGAGUGCAGUAAAAUCAAAUAGUGCAUACUUCUUCCUAGCAAUGAGGCCUCUGUGGGGGUUUGGGGAGGACAUGUAAGUGAGGACACCUGAUUGACUUACUACUGGCUGCAUUGGGAAGUAAUAGGAAGACUAGUUAAGGCCCACCAGGACAGCAUCGGCUCCUUUCUGCAAAGAUGCCUUGGCCAUGGUGUAUGGAUUCGAGAAUCUUAACAGCAGAGAAAGCUUUCAUAUACUCAGGCUCAGUGAGAGGCGAUAGGCACUGAAGAAAACCAACUGUUGAUCUCUUCUCACCAUUGUGACAGUCAGAAGAGGGGAACUGGUCAGACACAACAAACACAUACAGUAUAGAUAGGAAAUAGUACCCUGUGGUCUUUGUUGAGACAAAUGCAUUCUUACUGGACCACACUGUAUCCUUUUCUCUUAGAGCAAAUGUGCUGGACUUUUGAACCCUCAAAAAGGAACAAGUGGGCCUCUAUACUUUUUUAUUCUUCUAGGAACAUAGUUAAGGCUCCCAGC
ensembl:lncRNA